ensembl:lncRNA
AAAAAAAGCUACUUGUUACUGUUUGGUUGUCUAGCCACACACAAUUGUUUAUUCAAAUCCCCUGAAAUGAGGUGUGCCUACUAGAAAACAAAAGGUAGGCUGGAUCAUGGGUAGCAGAAUGGAAAUCAAUAGUUGAGAGGAAAAAUACUGUCUUCAAGGGGCUACUAAGAAUUCAUCCUUUUCACAAUCAUAAGCUUGAUAAAAAUCUUUAUACAAUAAUCAUGGAGUUAACAUUUUUGCGUUUGCCGCCACGGAAAGCUGCAGGAAGGGAUGUUGAGGGCGACUGACUGAUCAAAGCGAGGCCUCCUGUUCUCCCAGGAAGAAGAUGGAAACCCUGCACUCCAGAGGGGUACUGGUUGGAUCAGUGCAGGAUUUAGCACUGAGAAGCAAGGCUAUUCACACCUGAUCUACAGUUACCAUAUGAUCCAGCCAUUCUACUCAGCAGGAACUUUAACAGGUGUUCGUAUUCAUGGAGGCGCACUGCAGAGCUAAAAGGUGGAUGCAACCUAAAAGUCCGAAUCGACGGUUAUGACGUCAGAAUGAAGACGCUUUCUCCGGGCAUCCCGCAAGGCAAGUGCAGUUUCCUGUUGCAUUCCGGGAUUGUGAUGUAGCAAGGCUAAAAGGAAUCUUCCAGUGUAGAGGUGGAGAUGGUGACUGGGGAAGUGAAAAGUGGAAGAAGAAAAAAAAAAAGCUUGGUGCUUUGGGAAAGGGCUCUGCUUACCAUACUUACAAUACCAUCCUUGAAGAGAGACAAUUGUAAGAGAGGAAAACCAGUACGACACUGGUACUGGAGUAGAGUGACUAAGGAGUGCUGAGAUGAUUUCAGACUUCCAGUUUAUUCUUUGUAACUGUCUUCCUCUCCACUGUUGACCUUGCUAUAUGAAUAGUAUCAAUCAUAUUCAUUCCCCUGUGUUAGCUCAACAAACAAGAGCCAUACAGAUAAAAGGCAACCAAUGCACGCACGUGAGCCCGGCUCUCUGCCUAUCCACCCAGAGGAGAAAAUAGAAGAAGAAAACUAUUUAGCGGCUAAGAAGAUGAGAGGAUUCAUUUCCAACACCAGAUGCAAGCGCUCUUUUUUCUCUUUAAGGUGUGUGUUUUAUCUUCAACUUACAGAUGGGGAAAGUGAAGCUUAGAGAUGUCAACUGAUCUGCUUACAGUCACACUAAAAGGGAGGCGCAGAGAUGGGAUUAGAAUUCAAGACUUUAGAUACUUCAGUGGGUGGUCUGGACAGUUUCCCCCUACUUCUCAGGCAGGGCAUUAACAGGAUUUCAGGCUUUUGAGAGCAGCACCUCAUUAGAGCAAUUUCUUUCACCUGAUCUUUUGGCUUUAACUCUGAGACCACUGAGCUGGCAGCAUGCUUUGCCAGCUAUUGCUACAAUCGUGAUACUCCGUGGUUUGCAUUAGGGUUUGUGGUAUCUCUGAGAAACCACACUCUUCUCGGAGUAGAAUGCUAUGAAAUGAAGAAAAACAAUUGUAUAACGAUACUAACAAGAUCCAUAGUUAUAUAUAAGUCAUUUAUCAAUGGUUUCUUGAUUCCAUUUAUCUAUUUGCUAUAUUGUCAGCCAAGUAUGGACCACCAAGAUACACCAUCCACCCAGGCAAUACUGGGCCUAUAAAUCAACCAAGCCUCCAAUGCCUUCUGAAAUCCAGUAUUUGAUGGUGUAGUUUCAACUACUGCCGAAACCAUGGAAAUGUACAGCUCAAAGAAAGCUCACUCACUGAGCAUGCUCAUGUCAACAUGACCCAGAUCAAGAAACAGAGAAUAGGGGCUGGAGGGAUGGCUCAGUGGUUAAGGGGGAUUGACUGCUCUUCCAGAGAUCCUGAGUUCAAUUCCCAGCAACCACAUGGUGGCUCACAACCAUCUGCAAUGGGAUCUGGUGCCGCCUUCUAGUAUGUCUGAAGAAAGCAAUGGUGUACUCACAUACAUAAAAUAAAUAAAUAAAUCUUAAGAGAGAGAGAGAGAGA